rnacentral:rRNA from 1 species
AUCCGAGCGUUAUCCGGAUUUAUUGGGUUUAAAGGGAGCGUAGGUGGAUAGUUAAGUCAGUUGUGAAAGUUUGCGGCUCAACCGUAAAAUUGCAGUUGAUACUGGCUGUCUUGAGUACAGUAGAGGUGGGCGGAAUUCGUGGUGUAGCGGUGAAAUGCUUAGAUAUCACGAAGAACUCCGAUUGCGAAGGCAGCUCACUGGACUGCAACUGACACUGAUGCUCGAAAGUGUGGGUAUCAAACAGGAUUAGAUACCCUGGUAGUCCACACAGUAAACGAUGAAUACUCGCUGUUUGCGAUAUACAGUAAGCGGCCAAGCGAAAGCAUUAAGUAUUCCACCUGGGGAGUACGCCGGCAACGGUGAAACUCAAAGGAAUUGACGGGGGCCCGCACAAGCGGAGGAACAUGUGGUUUAAUUCGAUGAUACGCGAGGAACCUUACCCGGGCUUAAAUUGCAAAUGAAUAAUCUGGAAACAGGUUAGCCGCAAGGCAUUUGUGAAGGUGCUGCAUGGUUGUCGUCAGCUCGUGCCGUGAGGUGUCGGCUUAAGUGCCAUAACGAGCGCAACCCUUAUCUUUAGUUACUAACAGGUCAUGCUGAGGACUCUAGAGAGACUGCCGUCGUAAGAUGUGAGGAAGGUGGGGAUGACGUCAAAUCAGCACGGCCCUUACGUCCGGGGCUACACACGUGUUACAAUGGGGGGUACAGAAGGCAGCUACCUGGUGACAGGAUGCUAAUCCCAAAAGCCUCUCUCAGUUCGGAUCGAAGUCUGCAACCCGACUUCGUGAAGCUGGAUUCGCUAGUAAUCGCGCAUCAGCCAUGGCGCGGUGAAUACGUUCCCGGGCCUUGUACACACCGCCCGUCAAGCCAUGAAAGCCG